CCGCCUCAGCCUUUGGAGUAGCUGGGACUACAGAUCCAGGAAGGCCACUGAGAUUUCCACUUUAUCUACUGUUUCUUGUGCACGUACUUAACCAUAAAUCAAAACAGCCUCUGUGUUAUCAUCCUUCAAUGUUCAACACAUCGCAUCGGAGUCGCCCUUUCCCUACAGAAUAUAAGCUCUGGGUCUGGGGGCUAAUAGUGUGGGGAUCCACCAUCUUGUCUUGCCCCCACCUGAGACACAGAUGUGGCUUCUAUUCGUAUGUCCCUAUUAAAUGCUUUUCUCUGAGAA
rnacentral:lncRNA from 10 species